rnacentral:ncRNA from 2 species
GGUAGACUUUAGGGGUGCCGUAACGGCUGAGAUCAUACCCUCUGAACCUGAUGCUGUUAAUACUGACGAAGGGAAAAGCACAAAGGUACAU